CCUACGGGAGGCAGCAGUGGGGAAUAUUGCGCAAUGGGCGAAAGCCUGACGCAGCGACGCCGCGUGAGGGAUGAAGGUCUUCGGAUCGUAAACCUCUGUCUGCAGGGAAGAACGGUCACUGUGCUAAUCAGCAGUGAAUUGACGGUACCUACAAAGGAAGCACCGGCUAACUCCGUGCCAGCAGCCGCGGUAAUACGGAGGGUGCGAGCGUUAAUCGGAGUUACUGGGCGUAAAGGGCUCGUAGGCGGUAUGUCAAGUCAAGGGUGAAAUCCCCGGGCUCAACGUGGGAACUGCCUUUGAAACUGGCAGACUGGAGUGUGUGUGAGGAUGGUGGAAUGCCAGGUGUAGGGGUGAAAUCCGUAGAGAUC
rnacentral:rRNA from 1 species